rnacentral:lncRNA from 1 species
GGGCACUCAGGAAUCCCGGACCUCUAGGAGGACCUUCCUUCAUUUCAUUGGCCGGUUCAUGGUCUCACUUCGCUCCAGGCCUCCUCCAUGGACAUGGAGCUCAGGACCUGUCAAUCUGCAGGAACCCGGUCAGAUGCACCGGGCUAGGAGUCAGCGCCAUCCUCGUCCUCAAGCAGAAUCUCAAGACUGCUGUCAGGCUGCGGGAUCACUUCCUCAGGCAGCGGCGGGGGCAACGGGGCCCGAGAUACGUGUGAACUCAACGUAGUUGAAGUUCCCCUUUUUGUCAAUGGGGGCCUCUCUGUACAGCUCAUCCACUUCCUUGUCUGUGAA